AACACAACAAAAUUAAACAUUUUACAAAAUUUUCAUCUUGUGAGUAAAACCACUAUGAAUCUUCAACAAAGUGCAUAUGUUGUAUCAAAAAUUCCAAUUUUGGGUUGUUUUAUGAACACCCUUUUCAUAUUUCUUUGUCAUGAGAGUGAUAUUAAUGAAAAUCAUGAGAAUGACACACAAUUAAUUGAUAGGGAAAUCAAUGAUGAUAUAGCAAAUGCUAGUAAUAUAGCAGCUCAAAAACAUUUUCAACAAGUUCAACACAUCAAAGGGGCUUGAGAUUAUCAAGUGAAAAUUAAAAAUGAUCUAUGUUGCCUAUCGGACGUUGUUAUGUAGCUACUGCAAGACUUCUGAUAAUUAUGUCUAGAGUAGAGUCUCGGUAUCGGGAAAUCAAUAGUAUAGGUCUUUCCCGUCUCUAUCGCUGGUGAGAUCUCUGCUUGAACUUAAUCAUUCUUGUUUUGGAUCGUUUUGAGGGUUGUUCUAGAUGGAUGAACCACAAGACCUCUCGCGGAUGCUUACCUAAACUACGGAACUCAAUUGUUGGGCUCAAUAUUAUGCCUUGAAGAGGACUCAAUAUUAGCACGAGAUUUUGAGUCUCGCGUGUCUACCAUUUCACCACCAAGGCUUCUUGAAAGUGAAUCGUAUUCCAAGGAUAUGAUAUCUAUCUAGUGUGAUGUAUGAAUAUGAUUUUGAUUAAUUGAAGCAGAAUUUUGUUUAAUGAGCUUAUGAAUUUAUUGUCGUGUUUAUAUUAAUUCAAUGACAUGUAGUAUGUGAUAUUUUUAUUACUAAGAUAUCGUUAAUGAA